UAAGUGGUGUGAUGUUACUGAUGGUAAACAGAAGACUGCGACCUUGAAUCUGAAGAUCUGUGAUGAAGACCGGACAUUUGGGGUCACUCUCUGUUACAGUACUACAAAUCUAAGUACUCAGUAAUAAUCAGUGUCUAACUCAGCCACAAAGAGGUUGUCUCUGAUGUCCACACAUAAACCUAAUGGAGACUCUAAAUGACAGUGAAUGUAACGGAGGAACUGUCCGUCCUGAUCUAGGAUGUGGAUACGGUCAUUGACAAUGUCUGCUGUCAGGAUGUGACUCUGGCUGUCUGUAGUGAUGCCGACUGGAAUAAAUGAUUGCUCGGUAUUAGAGGGAUGACCAGUGUAUCUAAAUCGGAGUUUUCCUGACUGAUUGACCACCACUACUGCACUAGCUUCAUAGUCAGCCACACAGAUAUCCAGGUUCCUGUUCUCACUGAGGUAUUUAUAGUAACUAUUAGAAGAAUAGAGAGGACGACCCUGAUCAUCAAACUGAAUGCUUUGUUUCUCUGUGGAGCCGGAGUAACGCACGACUUUGUAUUGUUCUUCAUCAUCACUGUACAUGGUAACCAGGAGAUCGUUACCCGCGGUACAGCAGACAUUGCGAGGUCUCCACCCCUGUAGUGUGAUCACGAAUGAGUUGAGUGGAAUAAUGAACCUCCAGAUGUCUAUGUACACAUGUAUGAAUAAACUGUUGUACUCGCGCAUGUGAGCUUAUC